UUAAGAAUGCUGUAAGCUACUUCCUAACUUCAUCUGGAAUGUUGGGGACCUUAAAAGGAGACCAGGGUGACCUCAGUACAUUACCCAACAAAGAGCUGAGAGGGCGAGAGUACUACCAUCUUUAGAAGCCACAACUUAAGAAGGGAGUAGUUUUGGACUUCAUGUUGGUCUGCUCAGUGGCACUGCAGGAACCUGACUCCAUGGUCACUACAGAAUCGUUGGCUGUGUGUCCGCUCUGGCUGGAACACCUAGUAACUGCAUAACAAGAAGUUACCUGUGACACCCUUUAGACAUCUCCUGGAUGGGCUGUGUUUGUACUUGUUAAAAGUUGCAAUGAGGAUGUGGGUGUAUGACAGAUACUUCCAAAAAUUGUCUAUGAUAGCUAAUCUGUUCUCUCCUGUAGCAGAUUCCCACCACAGUGUCAUACUUGUGACCUCUCCUUUGGCCUGACUUGUGAGCUCUUUGGCCUGAGCCCUGCACAUCUAAGCUGCUCUUUCCCACAGGGAAUGGUCCACGUCUCCUCUGCCAUUCUCCCAGGAAGGGCUCAUCUCCCUCUGUCCAUCUGUUGCAGCACUCCAACAGGGUGAGCUGUCCCACCACAGAGUGCUUUCAUGAAAAUAGCUUGUUGCAUGCGCUCUUGUUUGAACACGUAAGCCUCCUGACUUCACUAAACUCUGAUCAGUGGAAGUGCUGCAUGGCAAAAGCCAUCACCUCUCAGCCAAUCAAGUCCCAGGUAUCUUUCAG
rnacentral:lncRNA from 1 species